CAACAAUUCAGGAGGGCGAAGUAUUCCGGACGGAUUACCCCCCAAUUUUUGGGCAUCCCGGAAUGACCAGCGCUUUGAAAGAGUCAUCACCCAAACGGCUAGGAGCUAAUGGAUCCGAGGGGAAGACCGGGGCUUGGCACGCAGGAGAGAUAACAGAGGUCUUUGUGGCGCCGGGAGAACCCACAGGACGAGUGUGUUCCUGUGACGAGCUCAAAGCCCGCUGCCCCCCGGUCCCCGCGGUGCCGUCGAGCACGCCGCGACGCACACACAAUCCUACCGAGGGUUGGGGGCGAAAACAAAAACACCGGAGAAAAACCUGUUGCUGUGACAUUCUGUUCCUCUCACCCCGACGCACGCCUGGC
ensembl:lncRNA